rnacentral:rRNA from 1 species
GAUGAACGCNGGCGGCGUGCCUAAUACAUGCAAGUCGAGCGAACGGACGAGAAGCUUGCUUCUCUGAUGUUAGCGGCGGACGGGUGAGUAACACGUGGAUAACCUACCUAUAAGACUGGGAUAACUUCGGGAAACCGGAGCUAAUACCGGAUAAUAUUUUGAACCGCGUGGUUCAAAAGUGAAAGACGGUCUUGCUGUCACUUAUAGAUGGAUCCGCGCUGCAUUAGCUAGUUGGUAAGGUAACGGCUUACCAAGGCAACGAUGCAUAGCCGACCUGAGAGGGUGAUCGGCCACACUGGAACUGAGACACGGUCCAGACUCCUACGGGAGGCAGCAGUAGGGAAUCUUCCGCAAUGGGCGAAAGCCUGACGGAGCAACGCCGCGCGAGUGAUGAAGGUCUUCGGAUCGUAAAACUCUGUUAUUAGGGAAGAACAUAUGUGUAAGUAACUGUGCACAUCUUGACGGUACCUAAUCAGAAAGCCACGGCUAACUACGUGCCAGCAGCCGCGGUAAUACGUAGGUGGCAAGCGUUAUCCGGAAUUAUUGGGCGUAAAGCGCGCGUAGGCGGUUUUUUAAGUCUGAUGUGAAAGCCCACGGCUCAACCGUGGAGGGUCAUUGGAAACUGGAAAACUUGAGUGCAGAAGAGGAAAGUGGAAUUCCAUGUGUAGCGGUGAAAUGCGCAGAGAUAUGGAGGAACACCAGUGGCGAAGGCGACUCUCUGGUCUGUAACUGACGCUGAUGUGCGAAAGCGUGGGGAUCAAACAGG